AGCUUAGAGUUUGAUCAUGGCUCAGAUUGAACGCUGGCGGCAGGCCUAACACAUGCAAGUCGAGCGGCAGCGGAAAGAAGCUUGCUUCUUUGCCGGCGAGCGGCGGACGGGUGAGUAAUGUCUGGGGAUCUGCCCGAUGGAGGGGGAUAACCACUGGAAACGGUGGCUAAUACCGCAUAACGUCGCAAGACCAAAGUGGGGGACCUUCGGGCCUCACGCCAUAGGAUGAACCCAGAUGGGAUUAGCUAGUAGGUGGGGUAAAGGCUCACCUAGGCGACGAUCUCUAGCUGGUCUGAGAGGAUGACCAGCCACACUGGAACUGAGACACGGUCCAGACUCCUACGGGAGGCAGCAGUGGGGAAUAUUGCACAAUGGGGGAAACCCUGAUGCAGCCAUGUCGCGUGUAUGAAGAAGGCCUUCGGGUUGUAAAGUACUUUCAGCGGGGAGGAAGGCUGAUGGCUUAAUACGCCAUCAGAUUGACGUUACCCGCAGAAGAAGCACCGGCUAACUCCGUGCCAGCAGCCGCGGUAAUACGGAGGGUGCAAGCGUUAAUCGGAAUUACUGGGCGUAAAGCGCACGCAGGCGGUCUGUUAAGUCAGAUGUGAAAUCCCCGGGCUCAACCCGGGAACUGCAUUUGAAACUGGCAGGCUUGAGUCUCGUAGAGGGGGGUAGAAUUCCAGGUGUAGCGGUGAAAUGCGUAGAGAUCUGGAGGAAUACCGGUGGCGAAGGCGGCCCCCUGGACGAAGACUGACGCUCAGGUGCGAAAGCGUGGGGAGCAAACGGGAUUAGAUACCCUGGUAGUCCACGCCGUAAACGAUGUCUACUUGGGAGGCUGUGGUCAUGAACCGUGGCUUCGGGAGCUAACGCGUUAAGUAGACCGCCCUGGGGGAGUACGGCCCGCAAGGUUAAAACUCAAAUGAAUUUGACGGGGGCCCGCACAAGCGGUGGANGCAUGGGGGUUUAAUUCGAUGCAACGCGAAGAACCCUUACCUGGGUCUUGACAUCCACAGAAUUCUCCGGAAAAACGGAAAAUUGCCUUNCGGGAACU
rnacentral:rRNA from 1 species